AGGGAAGCGGGUGCUAUAAUGCAGUCGAGCGAAUGGAUUAAGAGCUUGCUCUUAUGAAGUUAGCGGCGGACGGGUGAGUAACACGUGGGUAACCUACCCAUAAGACUGGGAUAACUCCGGGAAACCGGGGCUAAUACCGGAUAAUAUUUUGAACUGCAUAGUUCGAAAUUGAAAGGCGGCUUCGGCUGUCACUUAUGGAUGGACCCGCGUCGCAUUAGCUAGUUGGUGAGGUAACGGCUCACCAAGGCGACGAUGCGUAGCCGACCUGAGAGGGUGAUCGGCCACACUGGGACUGAGACACGGCCCAGACUCCUACGGGAGGCAGCAGUAGGGAAUCUUCCGCAAUGGACGAAAGUCUGACGGAGCAACGCCGCGUGAGUGAUGAAGGCUUUCGGGUCGUAAAACUCUGUUGUUAGGGAAGAACAAGUGCUAGUUGAAUAAGCUGGCACCUUGACGGUACCUAACCAGAAAGCCACGGCUAACUACGUGCCAGCAGCCGCGGUAAUACGUAGGUGGCAAGCGUUAUCCGGAAUUAUUGGGCGUAAAGCGCGCGCAGGUGGUUUCUUAAGUCUGAUGUGAAAGCCCACGGCUCAACCGUGGAGGGUCAUUGGAAACUGGGAGAUUUGAGUGCUG
rnacentral:rRNA from 1 species